UACGGAGGGUGCGAGCGUUGUCCGGAAUCACUGGGCGUAAAGGGCGCGUAGGUGGCGACCCAAGUCAACGGUGAAAGCUCGACGCUCAACGUCGAGUCGGCCGUCGAUACUGGGUUGCUCGAGCACUGUAGAGGCAGAUGGAAUUCCGGGUGUAGCGGUGGAAUGCGUAGAGAUCCGGAAGAACACCGGUGGCGAAGGCGGUCUGCUGGGCAGUAGCUGACACUGAGGCGCGACAGCGUGGGGAGCAAACAGG
rnacentral:rRNA from 1 species